AACUAAUUAUGUUACUUAGGUACUUUUUAUGGAAAGUAAUCGGUUACGUUACUUUUGCUUUGCUUUAUAAAUCUAGACA